CCACUUUGUGAGGAAAACAGGAGGCGCCUACAGCUCCUGUUGCUUUCAGUGAGAUUUGUGGUUGCUCUAAAAGUCAGGCGAACCGGGGAUGCAGGAGUAGAUUGUGUUUAAGACUUUCUAGGCGGCUAGAUUAAUGACUCCUGAAAAGAGCUUUUCAAAGCGUGCAAAUUAAACUUGAACCAAAAGAAACCAUGGGAGCAAGACAAAGCCAGGCCUUUGCAAACACAGCAAUAGCCGCCUCCCCCAGAUUUCCUGAGGCAACGUGUUCUGAGCACAUUGAAUACUUCAGAGUUGGAGGAACCAAUUUCCCUCCACUCUUGGGGCAAAUCAUAGGCCUGUUGAUGCCUCAGAGUUUCCCUCCGAGUGUGCCUUUGAUGGCUGGAGCACAAGGGGAUGGCUCUGUGCAUGUAGCAUUUUAUUUGUCUGCAUCCAGGGGAUCGAGUUAUAAUUAAUCAUGGAAAUAAAAUGAAGUAAAAACAGACUCUAAGGAUUCUACAAUGUAUUACAAGAAGCAAGGCAUUUAUUUCAAAUUUGGGCUCUUUCUUUUUUUCUUUGAGGACAUCUUGAUGUGAGGUAAAUAGGCAAGUGAAAAUGAGCAGAGACUGUUGCAACUUCAAAGAUCACUAAACCAGUUGCUUAGCAAGGACUACCUGUAUUAUCUUGUUCAGUUGCUAAAAGGAUUAAAAUGACUAAGUAGAGAUAACAUUGGGAUGUUACAUUUCAGACCUGCUACAUCAUAGAUAUUCCGGGCUUCUUGAAGAUAGUUGUAUGAUUUCAUCAACGUUCACUAUCCAUUAAUCAUAGAAAUGCCUAAAUAAAGCAUUACAUGUAUUGUAGUUAUUCAUUUAAUUAUGAAUAAAGCAUUGCAU